ACAACUUUCAACAACGGAUCUCUUGGUUCUGGCAUCGAUGAAGAACGCAGCGAAAUGCGAUAAGUAGUGUGAAUUGCAGAAUUCAGUGAAUCAUCGAAUCUUUGAACGCACAUUGCGCCCCUUGGUAUUCCAUGGGGCAUGCCUGUUCGAGCGUCAUUUGUACCUUCAAGC
rnacentral:rRNA from 1 species